rnacentral:rRNA from 1 species
UAGGGAAUCUUCGGCAAUGGGGGGAACCCUGACCGAGCAACGCCGCGAGAGUGAAGAAGGUUUUCGGAUCGUAAAGCUCUGUUGUUAAGGAAGAACGAGUGUGAGAAUGGAAAGUUCAUACUGUGACGGUACUUAACCAGAAAGGGACGGCUAACUACGUGCCAGCAGCCGCGGUAAUACGUAGGUCCCGAGCGUUGUCCGGAUUUAUUGGGCGUAAAGCGAGCGCAGGCGGUUAGAUAAGUCUGAAGUUAAAGGCAGUGGCUCAACCAUUGUAGGCUUUGGAAACUGUUUAACUUGAGUGCAGAAGGGGAGAGUGGAAUUCCAUGUGUAGCGGUGAAAUGCGUAGAUAUAUGGAGGAACACCAGUGGCGAAGGCGACUCUCUGGUCUGUAACUGACGCUGAGGCUCGAAAGCGUGGGUAGCAAACAGG